rnacentral:rRNA from 1 species
ACGAACGCUGGCGGCAUGCCUAACACAUGCAAGUCGAACGUGAUCCGUGCCUUCGGGUGCGGUGAAAGUGGCGCACGGGUGAGUAACGCGUGGGAACCUGCCCAAUGGUAGGGAAUAACCGCGGGAAACUGCGGCUAAUACCCUAUGAGCCCUACGGGGGAAAGAUUUAUCGCCGUUGGAGGGGCCCGCGUCGGAUUAGGUAGUUGGUGGGGUAAUGGCCCACCAAGCCUUCGAUCCGUAGCUGGUCUGAGAGGAUGAUCAGCCACACUGGGACUGAGACACGGCCCAGACUCCUACGGGAGGCAGCAGUGGGGAAUAUUGGACAAUGGGGGCAACCCUGAUCCAGCAAUGCCGCGUGAGUGAAGAAGGCCUUAGGGUUGUAAAGCUCUUUCGGCGGGGACGAUGAUGACGGUACCCGCAGAAGAAGCCCCGGCUAACUCCGU